rnacentral:rRNA from 1 species
GAUGAACGCUGACAGAAUGCUUAACACAUGCAAGUCUACUUGAAUUUGGGUUUUUUCACUUAGAUUUGGGUGGCGGACGGGUGAGUAACGCGUAAAGAACUUGCCUCACAGCUAGGGACAACAUUUGGAAACGAAUGCUAAUACCUGAUAUUAUGAUUAUAAGGCAUCUUAGAAUUAUGAAAGCUAUAUGCGCUGUGAGAGAGCUUUGCGUCCCAUUAGCUAGUUGGAGAGGUAACGGCUCACCAAGGCGAUGAUGGGUAGCCGGCCUGAGAGGGUGAACGGCCACAAGGGGACUGAGACACGGCCCUUACUCCUACGGUAGGCAGCAGUGGGGAAUAUUGGACAAUGGACCAAGAGUCUGAUCCAGCAAUUCUGUGUGCACGAUGACGUUUUUCGGAAUGUAAAGUGCUUUCAGUUGGGAAGAAAAAAAUGACGGUACCAACAGAAGAAGUGACGGCUAAAUACGUG